rnacentral:rRNA from 1 species
GCAUGCAAAUCCUGACCUCGGAUCAGACGUGAAUACCCGCUGAACUUAAGCAUAUCACUAAAUCCAAAAGGGGGGGGAACAUCCCCAUCCCCCAGUCCAAAGAUUCCCAUUCCCAGGACCGUGCG